rnacentral:rRNA from 1 species
GAUGAACGCUGGCGGCGUGCCUAAUACAUGCAAGUCGAGCGAACAGAUGAGGAGCUUGCUCCUCUGACGUUAGCGGCGGACGGGUGAGUAACACGUGGAUAACCUACCUAUAAGACUGGGUUAACUUCGGGAAACCGGAGCUAAUACCGGAUAAUAUAUUGAACCGCAUGGUUCAAUAGUGAAAGACGGUUUUGCUGUCACUUAUAGAUGGAUCCGCGCCGCAUUAGCUAGUUGGUAAGGUAACGGCUUACCAAGGCAACGAUGCGUAGCCGACCUGAGAGGGGGAUAAGCAACAAUGGAACUGAGACACGGUCAAGACUCCUAAGGGAGGCAGCAGUGGGGAAUUUUGGAAAAUGGGAGAAAGCCGGAAGAAGCAACAGCGCGGGGUGGAAGAAGGUCUUCGGAUCGUAAAACCCUGUUGUAGGGAAAGAAAAAAUGUAGAAUAAUAACUGCAUGUUUUGACGGUACCAAAAAAAAAAGCACCGGCUAACUCCGUG